rnacentral:rRNA from 1 species
UACGUAGGGCGCAAGCGUUGUCCGGAAUUAUUGGGCGUAAAGAGCUCGUAGGCGGUUUGUCGCGUCUGCUGUGAAAACCUAAGGCUCAACCUUGGGCUUGCAGUGGGUACGGGCAGACUAGAGUGCGGUAGGGUGACUGGAAUUCCUGGUGUAGCGGUGGAAUGCGCAGAUAUCAGGAGGAACACCGAUGGCGAAGGCAGGUCACUGGGCC